rnacentral:rRNA from 1 species
UGGGGAAUAUUGCGCAAUGGGGGGAACCCUGACGCAGCCAUGCCGCGUGAAUGAAGAAGGCCUUCGGGUUGUAAAGUUCUUUCGGUAUUGAGGAAGGUUGAUGUGUUAAUAGCACAUCAAAUUGACGUUAAAUACAGAAGAAGCACCGGCUAACUCCGUGCCAGCAGCCGCGGUAAUACGGAGGGUGCGAGCGUUAAUCGGAAUAACUGGGCGUAAAGGGCACGCAGGCGGUUAUUUAAGUGAGGUGUGAAAGCCCCGGGCUUAACCUGGGAAUUGCAUUUCAGACUGGGUAACUAGAGUACUUUAGGGAGGGGUAGAAUUCCACGUGUAGCGGUGAAAUGCGUAGAGAUGUGGAGGAAUACCGAAGGCGAAGGCAGCCCCUUGGGAAUGUACUGACGCUCAUGUGCGAAAGCGUGGGGAGCAAACAGGAUUAGAUACCCUGGUAGUCCACGCUGUAAACGCUGUCGAUUUGGGGGUUGGGGUUUAACUCUGGCGCCCGUAGCUAACGUUAUAAAUCGACCGCCUGGGGAGUACGGCCGCAAGGUUA